rnacentral:rRNA from 1 species
GACGACCGCUGGCGGCGUGCCUAAUACAUGCAAGUAGCACGCAGUUGCGAACGGGUGAGUAACGCGUCGGUAACUGCAUCAUAGCGGCGGAUAACUAUUGGAAACGAUAGCUCAUACCGCAUACUGUGAGUUGGACAUGCUUUGUAUUAGUUAGUUGGUGAGGUAAAGGCUCACCAAGGCGACGAUAAAUCGCCGACUGGAGAGGGUGAGAGGACAAACUGGGACGGAGCAACGGCCCAGACUACUACGUGAGGCAGCAGUAGGGAAUCUUCGGAAAGGGACGGAAGUCUGACCGAGCAACGCCGCGUGAGUGAAGAAGGUUUUCGGAGCGUAAAGCUCUGUUGUUAGAGAAGCGGUAACUAACCAGAAUGGGACGGCUAAUUACGUGCCAGCCGCCGCGGUAAUUC